rnacentral:rRNA from 1 species
GUGGGGAAUUUUGGACAAUGGGCGCAAGCCUGAUCCAGCAAUGCCGCGUGCAGGAAGAAGGCCUUCGGAUUGUAAACUGCUUUUGUACGGAACGAAACGGUCCUGGCUAAUAUCCGGGGCUAAUGACGGUACCGUAAGAAUAAGCACCGGCUAACUACGUGCCAGCAGCCGCGGUAAUACGUAGGGUGCGAGCGUUAAUCGGAAUUACUGGGCGUAAAGCGUGCGCAGGCGGUUUUGUAAGACAGGUGUGAAAUCCCCGGGCUCAACCUGGGAACUGCACUUGUGACUGCAAGGCUAGAGUGUGUCAGAGGGAGGUGGAAUUCCGCGUGUAGCAGUGAAAUGCGUAGAGAUGCGGAGGAACACCGAUGGCGAAGGCAGCCUCCUGGGAUAACACUGACGCUCAGGCACGAAAGCGUGGGGAGCAAACAGGAUUAGAAACCCCGGUAGUCC